rnacentral:rRNA from 2 species
UUGCCCUAGUAACGGCGAGUGAAGCGGCAACAGCUCAAAUUUGAAAUCUGGCUUCGGCCCGAGUUGUAAUUUGCAGAGGAUGUUUCUGGCGCGGUGCCUUCCGAGUUCCCUGGAACGGGACGCCACAGAGGGUGAGAGCCCCGUAUGGUUGGAUACCAAGCCUGUGUGAAACUCCUUCAACGAGUCGAGUAGUUUGGGAAUGCUGCUCAAAAUGGGAGGUAAAUCUCUUCUAAAGCUAAAUACUGGCCAGAGACCGAUAGCGCACAAGUAGAGUGAUCGAAAGAUGAAAAGCACCUUGAAAAGGGGGUUAAACAGUACGUGAAAUUGUUGAAAGGGAAGCGCUUAUGACCAGACUUGUGCUGGGCAGCUCAUCCGGGGUUCUCCCCGGUGCACUCUGCCCAGUUCAGGCCAGCAUCGAUUUUUGCUGGGGGAUAAGAACGGUAGGAACGUGGCCCUCCUUCGGGUGGGUGUUAUAGCCUACCGUACGAUACCCUGGCGGAGAUCGAGGUUCGCGCAUCUGCAAGGAUGCUGGCGUAAUGGUCAUUAGCGACCCGUCUUGAAACACGGACCAAGGAGUCGUCCAUUAGAGCGAGCGUUUGGGUGUAAAACUCGCACGCGUAAUGAAAGUGAAAUUAGGUGAGAGCUUCGGCGCAUCAUCGACCGAUCCUGAUGUUCUCGGAUGGAUUUGAGUAAGAGUUUUAACGGACGGACCCGAAAGACAGUGAACUAUGCUUGUAUAGGGUGAAGCCAGAGGAAACUCUGGUGGAGGCUCGCAGCGGUUCUGACGUGCAAAUCGAUCGUCAAAUAUGAGCAUGGGGGCGAAAGACUAAUCG